rnacentral:rRNA from 1 species
AGUGAACGCUGGCGGUAGGCCUAACACAUGCAAGUCGAACGGCAGCACAGGAGAGCUUGCUCUCUAGGUGGCGAGUGGCGGACGGGUGAGGAAUACAUCGGAAUCUGCCCAGUCGUGGGGGAUAACGUAGGGAAACUUACGCUAAUACCGCAUACGACCUUCGGGUGAAAGAGGGGGAUCGCAAGACCUCUCGCGAUUGGAUGAGCCGAUGUCGGAUUAGCUAGUUAGCGGGGUAAUGGCCCACCAAGGCGACGAUCCGUAGCUGGUCUGAGAGGAUGAUCAGCCACACUGGAACUGAGACACGGUCCAGACUCCUACGGGAGGCAGCAGUGGGGAAUAUUGGACAAUGGGCGCAAGCCUGAUCCAGCCAUACCGCGUGGGUGAAGAAGGCCUUCGGGUUGUAAAGCCCGUUUGUUGGGAAAGAAAUCUUUCAGGCUAAUACCCUGGGAGGAUGACGGUACCCAAAGAAUAAGCACCGGCUAACUUCGUG